rnacentral:rRNA from 1 species
CACGCAGGCGGUCAUAUAAGUCAGCUGUUAAAUGUAUGGGCUUAACCGAUGCAUGCGGUUGAAACUGUAUGACUGGAGUACUGGAGAGGUAAGCGGAAUUCCCGGUGUAGCGGUGAAAUGCGUAGAUAUCGGGAAGAACACCAGUGGCGAAGGCGGCUUACUGGCCAGUUACUGACGCUGAGGUGCGAAAGCCAGGGGAGCGAACAGGAUUAGAUACCCUGGUAGUCC